rnacentral:rRNA from 1 species
UACGUGGGGAGCAAGCGUCGUUCGGAUUCAUUGGGCGUAAAGGGUGCGUAGGUGGCGCCGUAAGUCAGGUGUGAAAUUUCGGAGCUUAACUCCGGAACUGCAUUCGAUACUGCGGUGCUUGAGGACUGGAGAGGAGACUGGAAUUCAUGGUGUAGCAGUGAAAUGCGUAGAGAUCAUGAGGAAGACCAGUGGCGAAGGCGGGUCUCUGGACAGUUCCUGACACUGAUGCGCGAAAGCCAGGGGAGCGAACGGG